CUACGGGCUGCUGCAGUGAGGAAUAUUGCACAAUGGGGGGAACCCUGAUGCAGCAACGCCGCGUGGAGGAUGACGCAUUUCGGUGUGUAAACUCCUUUUAUAUGUCAAGAAAAUGACGGUAGCAUAUGAAUAAGCACCGGCUAACUCCGUGCCAGCAGCCGCGGUAAUACGGAGGGUGCAAGCGUUACUCGGAAUCACUGGGCGUAAAGGACGCGUAGGCGGGUUGGAAAGUCAGGUGUGAAAUCCUACAGCUUAACUGUAGAACUGCACUUGAAACUUCUAAUCUAGAGUAUGGAGGGGGAGAUGGAAUUAGUGGUGUAGGGGUAAAAUCCGUAGAUAUCACUAGGAAUACCUAAAGCGAAGGCGAUCUCCUGGAACAUUACUGACGCUAGGGCGUGAAAGCGUGGGGAACAAACAGGAUUAGAUACCCGAGUAGUC
rnacentral:rRNA from 1 species